UAGCCAUAUCAUGUUGAAACACUGGUUCUUAUACAAUCAUUGAAGUUAAGCAACAUUGAGCCUGGUCAGUACCUAGAUGGGUGACCUCUUUGGAAUACCAAGUUCUGCAA